AGUGAACGCUGGCGGUGGGCCUAACACAUGCAAGUCGAACGGCAGCACAGUAAGAGCUUGCUCUUACGGGUGGCGAGUGGCGGACGGGUGGGGAAUACAUAGGAAUCUACUUUUUCGUGGGGGAUAACGUCGGGAAACUUACGCUAAUACCGCAUACGACCUACGGGUGAAAGCAGGGGAUCUUCGGACCUUGCGCGAUUGAAUGAGCCGAUGUCGGAUUAGCUCGUUGGCGGGGUAAAGGCCCACCAAGGCGACGAUCCGUAGCUGGUCUGAUAGGAGGAUCAGCCACACUGGAACUGAGACACGGUCCAGACUCCUACGGGAGGCAGCAGUGGGGAAUAUUGGACAAUGGGCGCAAGCCUGAUCCAGCCAUACCGCGUGGGUGAAGAAGGCCUUCGGGUUGUAAAGCCCUUUUGUUGGGAAAGAAAAGCAGCAGGUUAAUACCCCGCUGUUCUGACGGUACCCAAAGAAGAAGCACCGGCUAACUACGUG
rnacentral:rRNA from 1 species